rnacentral:rRNA from 1 species
GAUGAACGCUGGCGGCGUGCCUAAUACAUGCAAGUCGAGCGAACGGACGAGAAGCUUGCUUCUCUGAUGUCAGCGGCGGACGGGAGAGUAACACGUGGAUAACCUACCUAUAAGACUGGGAUAACGUCGUGAAACCGGAGCUAAUACCGGAUAAUAUUUAGAACCGCAUGGCUCAAAAGUGAAAGACGGUCUUGCUGUCACUUAUAGAUGGAUUCGCGCUGCAUUAGCUAGUUGGUAAGGUAACGGCUUACCAAGGCAACGAUGCAUAGCCGACCUGAGAGGGUGAUCAGCCACACUGGAACUGAGACACGGUCCAGACUCCUACGGGAGGCAGCAGUGGGGAAUCUUCCGCAAUGGGCGAAAGCCUGACGGAGCAACGCCGCGUGAGUGAUGAAGGUCUUCGGAUCGUAAAACUCUGUUAUUAGGGAAGAACAUAUGUGUAAGUAACUGUGCACAUCUUGACGGUACCUAAUCAGAAAGCCACGGCUAACUACGUG